rnacentral:rRNA from 1 species
GAUGAACGCUGGCGGCGUGCCUAAUACAUGCAAGUCGAGCGAACAGACGAGGAUCUUGCUCCUCUGACGUUAGCGGCGGACGGGUGAGUAACACGUGUAUAACCUACCUAUAAGACUGGGAUAACUUCGGGAAACCGGAGCUAAUACCGGAUAAUAUAUUGAACCGCAUGGUUCAAUAGUGAAAGACGGUUUUGCUGUCACUUAUAGAUGGAUCCGCGCCGCAUUAGCUAGUUGGUAAGGUAACGGCUUACCAAGGCGACGAUGGGUAGCCGACCUGAGAGGGUGAUCGGACACACUGGAACUGAGACACGGUCCCGACACCGACGGGAGGCAGCAGUACGGAAUCUUACGCGAUGGGCGAAAGCGUGAUGGAGGAAAGCCGCGUGAGUGAUGAAGGUGUUAGGAUGGUAGAACUAUGUUAGUAGGGAAGAAGAAAUGUGUAAGUAACUAUGCACGUCUUGACGGUACCUAAACAGGAAGCCACGGCUAACUACGUG